rnacentral:rRNA from 1 species
CAGUAGCGUAUAUUAAAGUUGUUGCAGUUAAAAUGCUCGUAGUUGAAGUUCGGAUGCAGCAGAGCUUGGAACCGCUGUUAUGGUGCUUCCGUUGCUUUUGCUUGUCCACAGUGCGUUGCAAGUACGUAUGUGCUUGUGCGUGCAUUUUACUUUGAGAAACAUAGGGUGUUCCACGCAUGUUACGGCAUGAAUAUUCCAGCAUGGGAUAAUCUGGUACGACUUCCAAUCUGCCAUUUUGGUUCGUAGGUUGGAAGUAAUGAUUAAUAGGGACUGUCGGGGGCAUUGGUAUUUGACUGUCAGAGGUGAAAUUCUUAGAUUCGUUGAGGACCAACCACUGCGAAAGCAUUUGUCAAGGAUGUCUCCAUUAA